GACAAGUCACCAUAACAACAAUAUUAACAACAGGAAAAGCACCUUAGGAGAGAGUAAUCACAAGUAUAAGCUCUGCUUUGCCAAUACACGCACACAAGCCUAUAAGCUUCUGCCAAAUGAAAGGUUCUCUUGGGAGUUUUUCCAGAAUGACCUGACAACAGACUUUGCAGCCUAUAAUUCUGUCAUCUGAUCAAUUCAGAAUUCUGGCCUCAGACCAGUGAUGUGCAAUAAGAAAGGGUCAACUGCAGAGCUGCUACAAAAUACUUUUAUGCCUUUGUGAUAAAGUUUUAAAGGACAAAAGAAGAAAGAAGCUCUUUCACCAUCUCAGACAAUAGAAUGGUGAACAGAUAAUCAGAGCUUUGUAUGCCAUAUCUAUACCAUAUGAGAAAGCUCAGUUAAUUGCAAUGUUUUCUAAUUAAAAUGAGCACAAAGUGAGUUACCAAUAUUAUUGCACUAUUUUCUGUAGAAUCUUUGCAUAAUUAAAUGUAUUGUUCCCAUCAUGUUAACUAGAGUGAAUCAUGUUUCGUUAAAACAAAAACAAUUGAACAUGGCAAACUCAUAAUAACAACGUGGAUGGAAUGGAAAAACGGUAGUGCAACAUUUCUAGAAGUAUAUAAAGGCAAAAUAUUGCCUUUCCACUAUCACCCACAUCCAUGCAUGAUUGUUAACUCCUAGUCACAAAGAACUUUCAAAUUGCUUGAAACAUCAAAUGCAUUUUAAUAGUUUUUUAGACUAGACCAUGCUUGAUGCCCUAACCAACUGCAAAGUAUUCUAACCAAAACAAUGAACAUGAUGCGAGUUACAAAUAUUGCACUACACCAGUAAAAAAGCAUAAUAUUUACAAAUUUUUCGCACUACUUACAUAGGAGGACUUGCAUGCAAAAACCUAGUAAUUACAAAUUCACAAGUGGGAAGUGGACAUCUCUGAUAGCCUGAAAAGCAAAAAUUGGUUUGUGCCAUGGCAAAUUGGAGACAUUGGAGUAAAUAUUAUUCAGGUCAAAAGUUGCUCAUCAACUUGAGGACAAAUGCAUCAGGAAUACUCUGUGUAAGCAUUUUGAACAGCACCCUCUGAAGAAAGUGUGGUAAUUCACCACUGGUUUUGGCUAAAAUGAAGUAAAAACUGUUAACCUGUACUUCAGGUUGCAUUUAUUGUAUUCUUUACUAUGAGGACAGAGAAAACAAACUUUGUCAACAUCAUCUUUACCAGGUUCAUUCACCUUUAUCUGAACCACAGGAGUCGACAUCGCCUUUCCUAGAAUGCACUAGCUACUUUCAUAUGGCAAACUCAGCAGCUGUUAGCAGGUUGUGCAUCAACCACAGUGUAGGACAAAGGUGCCAACACAAAUUCUCAUGUUUAAAGACAUCAAUUGUGACUUAGUAGGUAAUUGUGGGCAGCAGUGCGCUGCAGGGUUACCCACAAUUACCACUCCAUAUGACCCAUAUAACCUCACGCCGCCCUACCAAAGAGUGUAGUAAAAGCAGAAAAGCUCAAAGCCUGGAAAUAAGUGCCUUCCAGCCUUAGUAAAUUUCUGAUGCACAUCUGGAAAAAUGGAAUAGGAGGAGGGAGCAGUUUGUAUUGUGUCCAACUUUACGUAACCACCAUCCAGUCUCAAGCUUAUAAACAGGACGCAUGGCCAUCUCCAGCCUGAUCGUGAAGGCCAUCCAGGAAAGCAAAGACAAUGCAGACACCUUGGAGGAUGAAAGUGUGUGUGAUUCAAUGUCAGAAAGCAACAGCAUGCCCUCCGUUGCAGUGAUAGACACCGGAUCCUUCAUAUCAAACAAGAGGAUGGCCAUGCUGCUUGAUGGGAUAGCAAUCUUGUCUGAAACUAAGAUGGGACGUGCUGUGAGUGAGUGAGUGAGUGAGUGAGUGAGAGAACUGUGAGGAUUACCCAGCUGAACAGCUCUUACAGUAAUCACCAGAUCUACUCGCGGACUAUCCACAGGGACUCCCACUGAGAGAGAGUGUAUAGAUAUAACAGAAGUGGCUCACACCUGUAUCAGCGUGAGCCAUGAUCUCAGCACAACCAUAGACAGUACUGCUCCCGAACACCACCUCUACAUACUAGAAGCCCAGAUGUGUGAUGCAGUGCUAUCAUCUGGAGCUCCAGCUUUCUGGCAACCACAGCAACAACCAAUGCAGUGCAACCUGCUCCCUGCCAAAGACAAGAGACGGGGUCAAGCUCUCUCUUUCUCUCUGGUCUCUGCGCCUCCCGGACGUGUAGAGCGAGCGUUUGCACACCUCAGGCGGCGUGUUUUCAUCCAGCUUCUGUCACUUAUUGGUGGGGAUUCAGGCAGCGAUGAUCCACAGGGAGAUACUGAAGACUAGCAGCACCGUGCCCGGGCAUAUGGUCAUCAGGGUCUUCAUCACAAAGCGUGUG